AAAGAGAACGACGACAAUCACACGUCUUUGCCUUCGUUGACAACAGGUGGUGGGAAUGUAGACGACAGCGGCGAGCUGCCCCCCAUCGCG
rnacentral:ribozyme from 1 species